AGUGAACGCUGGCGGUAGGCCUAACACAUGCAAGUCGAACGGCAGCACAGUAAAAGCUUGCUCUUACGGGUGGCGAGUGGCGGACGAGUGAGGAAUACAUCGGAAUCUACUUUUUCGUGGGGGAUAACGUAGGGAAACUUACGCUAAUACCGCAUACGACCUACGGGUGAAAGCAGGGGAUCUUCGGACCUUGCGCGAUUGAAUGAGCCGAUGUCGGAUUAGCUAGUUGGCGGGGUAAAGGCCCACCAAGGCGACGAUCCGUAGCUGGUCUGAGAGGAUGAUCAGCCACACUGGAACUGAGACACGGUCCAGACUCCUACGGGAGGCAGCAGUGGGGAAUAUUGGACAAUGGGCGAAAGCCUGAUCCAGCCAUACCGCGUGGGUGAAGAAGGCCUUCGGGUUGUAAAGCCCUUUUGUUGGGAAAGAAAAGCAGCAGGUUAAUACCCCGCUGUUCUGACGGUACCCAAAGAAUAAGCACCGGCUAACUUCGU
rnacentral:rRNA from 1 species